UACAGAGGGUGCGAGCGUUAAUCGGAAUUACUGGGCGUAAAGGGCGCGUAGGUGGUUUGUUAAGAUUGAUGUGAAAUCCCUGGGCUUAACCUAGGAACUGCAUCGAUGACUGAUGAGCUAGAGUACUGUAGAGGGUAGUGGAAUUUCCGGUGUAGCGGUGAAAUGCGUAGAGAUCGGAAGGAACACCAGUGGCGAAGGCGGCUACCUGGACAGAUACUGACACUGAGGCGCGAGAGCGUGGGGAGCAAACAGG
rnacentral:rRNA from 1 species